rnacentral:rRNA from 1 species
AGAGUUUGAUCCUGGCUCAGGAUGAACGCUAGCGACAGGCUUAACACAUGCAAGUCGAGGGGCAUCAUGAGGUAGCAAUACCUUGAUGGCGACCGGCGCACGGGUGAGUAACGCGUAUGCAACCUGCCUGAUACCGGGGUAUAGCCCAUGGAAACGUGGAUUAACACCCCAUAGUACUUUUAUCCUGCAUGGGAUGUGAGUUAAAUGUUUAAGGUAUCGGAUGGGCAUGCGUCCUAUUAGUUAGUUGGCGGGGUAACAGCCCACCAAGACGAUGAUAGGUAGGGGUUCUGAGAGGAAGGUCCCCCACAUUGGAACUGAGACACGGUCCAAACUCCUACGGGAGGCAGCAGUGAGGAAUAUUGGUCAAUGGACGAGAGUCUGAACCAGCCAAGUCGCGUGAGGGAAGACUGCCCUAUGGGUUGUAAACCUCUUUUAUAAGGGAAGAAUAAGUUCUACGUGUAGAAUGAUGCCUGUACCUUAUGAAUAAGCAUCGGCUAACUCCGUGCCAGCAGCCGCGGUAAUACGGAGGAUGCGAGCGUUAUCCGGAUUUAUUGGGUUUAAAGGGUGCGUAGGCGGUUUAUUAAGUUAGUGGUUAAAUAUUUGAGCUAAACUCAAUUUGCCAUUAAUACUGGUAAACUGGAGUACAGACGAGGUAGGCGGAAUAAGUUAAGUAGCGGUGAAAUGCAUAGAUAUAACUUAGAACUCCGAUAGCGAAGGCAGCUUACCAGACUGUAACUGACGCUGAUGCACGAGAGCGUGGGUAGCGAACAGGAUUAGAUACCCUGGUAGUCCACGCCGUAAACGAUGCUCACUGGUUCUGUGCGAUAUAUUGUACGGGAUUAAGCGAAAGUAUUAAGUGAGCCACCUGGGGAGUACGUCGGCAACGAUGAAACUCAAAGGAAUUGACGGGGGCCCGCACAAGCGGAGGAACAUGUGGUUUAAUUCGAUGAUACGCGAGGAACCUUACCUGGGUUUAAAUGGGAAAUGUCGUAUUUGGAAACAGAUAUUCUCUUCGGAGCGUUUUUCAAGGUGCUGCAUGGUUGUCGUCAGCUCGUGCCGUGAGGUGU